UGCAGAUGAGUCAAGGGAGACGUGGCCUAACCUCUGGUCAUGAUCUGGAGGUGAACACCUGGCCAAACCACGGACUGAGGAGCGUGCACAACUAACCGACCACCUCAGCUUCGGCUGCCGAAACUGCAUGCAAAACCAUGCAACUUUCGGGGGCCGAACUUAACCUUCGGGGGCCGAAUAUUGGGCACUUUCGGCGGCCGAACUUAACCUUCGGGGGCCGAACAUUACAGAAACUCCUUUGGCCAAUUCUCCACGAAACUCAACUCGUUUUCUAC
rnacentral:lncRNA from 1 species